CUGGAUUCGACGGGAUUCGCGAAACCCAAGGUGCAUGCCGAGGGGCGGUUGGCCUCGUUAAAAGCCGCAAAAUAAUAGUCGCAAACGACGAAAACUACGCACUAGCAGCUUAAUAACCUGCUUAGAGCCCUCUCUCCCUAGCCUCCGCUCUUAGGACGGGGAUCAAGAGAGGUCAAACCCAAAAGAGAUCGCGUGGAUGCCCUGCCUGGGGUUGAAGCGUUAAAUCCAAUCAGGCUAGUUUGUUAGUGGCGUGUCUGUCCGCAGCUGGCAAGCGAAUGUAAAGACUAGA
rnacentral:misc_RNA from 4 species